rnacentral:rRNA from 1 species
CCUACGGGUGGCUGCAGUGAGGAAUAUUGGUCAAUGGGCGAGAGCCUGAACCAGCCAAGUCGCGUGAAGGAUGACGGCCCUACGGGUUGUAAACUUCUUUUGUCAGGGAGCAAUUGGGUCCACGCGUGGGCUUAGCGAGAGUAACUGACGAAAAAGCAUCGGCUAACCCCGUGCCAGCAGCCGCGGUAAUACGGAGGAUGCGAGCGUUAUCCGGAUUUAUUGGGUUUAAAGGGGGCGUAGGCGGAAUAUCAAGUCAGCGGUAAAAAUUCGGGGCUAAACCCCGUCGUGCAGUUGAAACUGAUGGUCUUGAGUGGGCGAGAAGUAGGCGGAAUGCGUGGUGUAGGGGUGAAAUGCAUAGAUAUCACGAAGAACACUGAUUGCGAAGGCGGCAUACCGGAGCCCAACUGACGCUGAAGCACGAAAGCGUGGGUAUCGAACAGGAUUAGAUACCCGAGUAGUC